AUACGUAUACUGUUGUCCCCUCCACAAAACACGUGUACUAUAUAUACGGAACCCUAUUUUCUCUCACUAUCCGGCGGUGUUCUUCCAUGUCCCAGUCCUGUUAAUUUCUCCGAUUCUCCAAAAUUCAAGCUAACUCCAACGAGUGGUCGUCUUUACCCAUUUCUAUUGGUGUAUGUAUAAACACAAUGUGGUGGGUACAUAUGAGUUGCAAUUCUUCUGAUAUAAUUUCUUGCUGGAAGUUUUCAUGGAUGGUAAUUGUGAACCAUAUUCUUCGUUAUCCUUGGUCUGUGUUUCUUUUCUGCUGUUGCGAUAUAACUCGUUACGAAGUUAAUUUGGCAAGAGAGGAAGAUGGAUGAAUCCACAAAAUCGAUUGGAUAGGAUGUUGACUCUUGCACCAGAUAUUGGCAAUUUCUAUGCAUUUUUUGUUACAAUUUUGAAGAGCAUUAUGGUACUGAAGAGCAGAGGAAUGAUGUGCUGAAGAGAUGUGUUAUAGGAUCAAAGCAUGGUAAAACUAACGUAAAUACAGUUAUCUAAUAGCAUUGAAGCCAUGAUCAAGAAGGUGAGAACUUUACAACUUGACUUAACCUCUCUUGAAUCAGUCCUCUACCUAUGAGCACAAGCAUUAACAUAGUUAUCAUCAUUUUCAUCAGAAUCAAAAGUUUGAUCCAAAAUUCUAAAAUAUUGCAUAAACUAGGAUGUGAGAGUUCUAAAAGCUAACACAACUAUCAAAAUUUUAAAAAAAAGAACAACACUCGGAUAAUACAUCCAAGAAGCAUCUAGAAGUCUCAUAAACAUAUGAAGAAAGUUAACCUGAAUGUUUGCGGUUGUAUACCUGCCAAUGUUAGUUUGCAUUGGAAGUUGUUUAGAAUGUGAGUUGCAUGUACAAUAUAAAUACAUUAGCAUGUGGUUCACACUAGAAGUAUACACCUUCUUGCCGUGUGAUAACUCCAGACUAAUAAUUCCACAUGGGAUAAGAGUUCAAAUACAUUACAGGCUGGCUAGCAAAAUGAAGACCUGUAUGAGCACUUUUAUGAACCUUUGUCACCAUAUAAAAGAGUUUAUAAUAAAAUGUCUAAUGAGCUUACUGGAUAAUGUCUCACAAAUUCCAUAAUAAUAAUUUUAUCUUAAAAUAAGUGAAUACUUUACCAGAUAUAGAUGCCAUUGAUAAUUUUGCAUCUGUUAUUGAAGUCGACAUUCACAAAUCCCGCAACUUAAGGUCAAAUCUUAGUAGUAGACAUCGCUUAAAUCUCACAAAUUUAAUAAGCAGAGCAUAUUAGUCAUUUGAUGCAAUUCAAACGUCUCCUUCCUGAAUCUUCUUUUUUGUUUCUUAGUGAUUAUUUCUUAUAUAUAUGAUUUAAAGCUAACCCGAUUACUAUUUUCUUUGUACGUUGAUGAUAAUCUUUCUUUGUCAGAUGCUUCCAAGUAUGUCCUUAAGACUCGUGAAAUUCUGAAUUUUGUAGUUUAUAGCAUCUGCUAUAAUACUUAUAGUGAACAGGAAUGUAUUAUUGCUGGUAAUGGACUUGAGGCUUGCUACUCUGAUAGGGAACUGACAGCUAUUCGAGCAAGUUUUCGGCACCGGAUACUCUUUCGAGGAUAUCAUUAACAUUGAGAGCUUCUCUUAUCAUUUUGGAGUCAUUGACUUGAGUUAAACUGAUAGAUAGAAAGGGGACCUGAAGACGGAAGCCAGAAAGAUUUAAUUUUACGUAUAAAAACACAUUGGACACUAGCAUGCAGCCAAGGUGCCAAUGUGGUAGGAUAUCAUAUGGGAUAGGUUGGACUGAAGGAGAAAUCCACAUACUUUAGCAGGGCUGUGUAAGUUGAGAACUCCAUCAUAAGAGAAGCCUUCACCAUUUGAGAAUAUUGAAUGCUUUUGCAUUUCUAUUUGUAGCUUUUUUAAGAUACAAGUCCAUUGUGGGAACUCACUGGUUUUUUGUUAUUGUUGUUGUUAAUCUUUGGGAUGUAAGCAUUUUUUGCAACUGUAUUUCAUCCUAGAUUUUUUAAAUUCAUUGUCCUACACUUUUGUCUGUAGCUUCUUUUAGUUACAGUUUGUGAAGAGACUGAAGCAUCUUAUGCAAGUGUAUAGCAUCUUGGAUAUUUUAGAUUCAUCACUUUUGUAUUUUCUUGGAAGCAGUAUUUGUGGUAAUGAUCCUAAUAUGGUUGAGUGUUGUUGAUCA